GGGCGUGUGGCUCAGUUGGUAGAGCGUUCGCUUAGCAUCUUGUACGGUCAUUGUGCAACAGCUCCGUGACAUGGUACGUGUAUGCGAAAGGUCCUGGGUUCGAUUCCCAGCCCGUCCA